UGUAUAUCCCAAUAAUUUCCUUUUUAGGUGUUUCGUUCUCAGCAAUGGUGUAGACCGCUUGAGUUGCAGGCUGGAGGGGUGUGCUCGAGUUCCCACCGAAAAGUCUGUUGUUGUAACGGCAGUCUCCCUCAACACUUAUCUUGUGAUCACUGGAAAUCUUCCAAGGCAUCGGGAACAGCUGGGUGAGGCCGAAGUAACCGCAUAUUGCCAGUCGUCCCCUGUGAAUCGGUGACCACAUAUGAAGAUGCACCUCGACUCGUUGACGGCUUAGCCACUGCAUCAAAGUCUUCCCUGGACAGCCUGGUACAGGCCAAAUCAGACCAACACAGUGACACUCCUCAAAGAGUUAUCCCCCCUUGACCAGCCGUCAACAUAUAACCAAGUGACUUUCGUGAAGUGCCAAAUGUUAGUAUUCAUGUUGGAGCAAUAAAAUUUAUAAACCGA